GGGACUUGCAGGUGGCGGCGAAUUUACCCUCUCACCCAUGCCUCGCCGCUGACGUCACCGAGCACGAAUCGCGCCGCACGAGCCCACGGAGGUAAUUUCGCGCCCACCGCCGAAGCCAAAAAGGCCAGUAAUCGUUACAAAGAGACCGCAGGACUGUAGAAUUUGGUCUUGAACUUUCGGAGAUUCUUCCUGCUUUCUUUGCCUUUCUGUCUGCUCCUCCGACAAGAAGAAGGAAGGAAGGAAGGAAGGGAGAAGAAGAGAUGAUGGUGGAGCUGUUCGUGCUGGGGUGCACGGGGAUCGUGGUGUUCCUCCACGGGGCCAACUUCUUCUUCCACAUCCUCUCCCAUCAGCUGGCCAUCCGGUCCCUCAGCUUCCUGGGUUUUGUUGGCUGGUAGGAUCCGAUCAGGAGGAGGAUGGAGAGAACGGACGUUGGAGCAGAGUUGCUUCGACGGCAAGCGGGAAGAUGGGGCUUGGCCUCUGCUGAUGUAACCAAUUUGUAGAUAACCUCAUUUUGAUUGAUCUUGGAGGGAUUAUAUAUAGCUUAUAAAUAAGUCUCCAAUGAGGGGGAUUAAAGCCAUUAUGUAUGACACGGAUGUAGCGAGAUGAUCACGCGAAAUUGUAGUCGUUUAGUGCUCAUUUCGGUGGGACUCUCUGUGCCCUGCUUUGGACGGAGAUAGAUAGAUGAUGGAGAGAGAGUUCAUGCUAGUUUGGAAUGAUUUGACUGAAUUCUGUUUUAGGGUUUAAGUGAAGGUUCAUCAAUUCGAGUUGAAAACCUCGCUAUUGCU